AACGAACGCUGGCGGCAUGCCUAACACAUGCAAGUCGAACGAGAUCUUCGGGUCUAGUGGCGCACGGGUGCGUAACGCGUGGGAAUCUGCCCUUUGGUUCGGAAUAACAGCUGGAAACGACUGCUAAUACCGGAUGAUGACGAAAGUCCAAAGAUUUAUCGCCAGAGGAUGAGCCCGCGUAGGAUUAGCUAGUUGGUGUGGUAAAGGCGCACCAAGGCGACGAUCCUUAGCUGGUCUGAGAGGAUGAUCGGCCACACUGGGACUGAGACACGGCCCGGACUCCUACGGGAGGCAGCAGUGGGGAAUAUUGGACGAUGGGCGAAAGCCUGAUCCAGCAAUGCCGCGUGAGUGAUGAAGGCCUUAGGGUUGUAAAGCUCUUUUACCCGGGAUGAUAAUGACAGUACCGGGAGAAUAAGCUCCGGCUAACUCCGUGCCAGCAGCCGCCGUAA
rnacentral:rRNA from 1 species